AAGAAAUAUAUAAUGACAAAUAGUCCUUGUAAUUAGAGGGAAAAGGAAGAAUAUCCCUUAAAUAAAGGAGAAUAACCUACUUUCCCCCCACUCUGGUUCUAGUUAUAAUUGGAAGAAUAUUGGAUUUGGAGUCAAGGAACUUGAGGUUGAAUUCUGGGUCUACUGUUUACUCCCUGUCUGAACAUGGGGAAACCCCUUAAAUCUUUCUAGCCUUGGUUUUCUCAUCUGUUUAAAAAAAACAACAACAACAAACCAAACUGGAUUAGAUGAUUCCUGAAUUUCUGACUAGCUUGAAACCUUGUAGAUAGAUUCUGCUCCUUCCCCACCGCCUCCAAAGAAACUGAGAGCCCUCCACCCCCGCAUAUCUCGUUCUACACCUUUAGCCUUUCUCUUGAACCCGGACUUGUAACCUUUAGUUCCGGGUCAUGUUCCUAGGGCUUUUCACCCGUGACCUGUUUGGAGUGUUCAUGUGACAACCAGCUACACAUCGAGAGUGGGGACGAGCUGGGCGGAGGAGCGGAUUCCAUCUUCUACACAAAACCCUAUGGAGACCUAGGACAUUCUGAGUUUAAGGUUACUGUGAAUCAGAAGUGAAGUACAGCAGGAGUAGAAGUCAUUUACUAUGCUAUACCGUUUAGAGGUCUAAGAGAAAAUGGAAUCCCAAGCACAGUUCCAGUGCCUAUUAAAGGAUUGUUAGGAAAGGUUUGGGAUAAUCACUUGGAAAGAAGAAGGAAUGAUGAAGGAUGAACUUAAGAACAAGGCUUCCAAGUCCUGGGGAUGGCAAGACAGCACCUGUUACUAACAACCAUGAGAACUGCACCAACUUAUCUUUCUAGGUUUUAUGUGGGGCAUAUCUAGGACUGCUUGUAUCUGGCAGGCAAAAUUGGGGACAAACUAGCAGUUGUUUGUCUUGAAAGGAGGGAAAAUAAUGAGGUGGUUCAGAUUUCUUUGUGUUAAAAAAUAUGUCUCAAUGCAGGGUCUACUGUUUCUGGGUUUCUUGUAUGUCUUUAUAUUCUCUAGCAUUUGUCUCUAGGAAGGUCUUGCUGAGCUCAUUGCAAAAUAUUUCCCACCCUCUUCCCUUCCCAACUACCCUCUUCCCCACCUACAACUCCACCCCAUUUAAUGAAAGACAAAAAAGCAAUUUAGAAAAACCAAUCAGUAUAUAAAAUAUUUCACACACAUAAAUCACUCACUUCUUUAGUUAAGGGAAUGAGAUGUAUUUUUUCAAUACUCCUUGGGGCCAUGUUCAGUCAUUAUAAUUAUAUAGUAUGCAGUUUAUUAAUUAUCUUUGUUCUUUUUAUAUUGUUGCAAUUUGAAUAUUGAUUUUCUAAUUCUGCUCACUUUAUUCUGUAUCAGUUCAUUUAAUUCCUUUGUCCUCUCUUCUCUUCAUUAUGUUUUCCUAUUUUCAGAGUGGCCUCCCCACCAUUUUGCCCACUCAUUCCCAUGCUUUUCUUAAUAUUUCAUCAUUUUUUUACACUGUAACAAUAUUUCAUUAUAUUAAUUUAUUACAUUCUUUUCACCAUUCCUCAACUGAUGGGCUUCUACUUUGUUUCCAAAUCCUUGCCACUACAAAAAAAUCUUGCUAUGACUAUUUUGAUGUCAAUGGGUUACUUCUCUCAAUCUUUGACUUCCUUGAGGUAUAUGUAUAGCAGUGGGAUCUACCCAUCUAAUGUUAAAGGACCUAAAAGAAAAUCUCCAGUAUUUUGGAUGGACCUGUGAAGGUUUACAUGAGAACAUGGAUAAAAGCUUGUGGAGCAUAGCAGUCCUAUAUCAUUUCUCUAACUACUAAUAUGGCAGACAUAUACCACUCAUCCUGUGCUCCUGCCUUGUCCAAAGAUACUUUAGGUAAGUUAUCUUAGGGAAUAAGAUACCAUCUGUUAGAAUCAUCCCAUUUCUUAUGGUUCUAUGUUAUUAGAAUUGCCUAAAUUUUGAUGAGAAACAUCAAUAUUAACCUGAUAAAACAAUAACACAUGCCCUGCAAGUCAACUUGUAAAUGUUCUUGCACCAGAAAGGUUCAGAAGAGCCCUGGGUGAACCCUAAGUACCUGUAGAUAACUCCAAGUCUGUCUUCUUCCACUUUUGUCAAAUUCAUGUCCUGGUUUACAUUCCAAACUUUUCUUGCUAGGCAGUAGUUUCUCCCUUGUUACUCAAUCCUAAAGACCCCCGCCUCUAUUUUUAAAGAAUAUUCUAAAACCUAUAAUCUUCUCCUUCUCCCUGGCCUUGGUUUUCUUUAAUUUUUUUUAAACCCUUACCUUCCAUUUUGGAAUCAAUACUACAUAUUGGUUCCAAGGUAGAAGAGUGGUAAGGGCUAGGCAAUGGGGGUUAAGUGACUUGCCCAGAGUCACACAGCUAGGAAGUGUCUGAGGCCAAAUUUGAACCUAGGACCUCCCAUCUCCAGGUCUGGCUCUCAAUCUACUGAGCCACCCUAAUCCUUUCUUUUCUUCUAACCCUGGAACAUAUCUUUGUUUUCUCAAUAGAAAUAAACAAUUUUGCUGA